GACGAACGCUGGCGGCGUGCCUAAUACAUGCAAGUCGAGCGAAGCGGCGGAUGGGUGAGUAACGCGUGGGUAACCCGCCCUUAAGUCUGGGAUACCAUUUGGAAACAGAUGCUCAUACCGGAUAUUAAAGGAUGGACCUGCGAUGCAUUAGCUAGUUGGUGAGGUAACGGCUUACCAAGGCGAUGAUGCAUAGCCGAUUUGAGAGGGUGAUCGGCCACAUUGGGACUGAGACACGGCCCAGACUCCUACGGGAGGCAGCAGUAGGGAAUCUUCCACAAUGGACGAAAGUCUGAUGGAGCAACGCCGCGUGAGUGAAGAAGGUUUUCGGAUCGUAAAGCUCUGUUGUUAGAGAAGCGGUAUUCAACCAGAAAGUCACGACUAACUACGUGCCAGCCGCCGCGGUAAUAC
rnacentral:rRNA from 1 species